rnacentral:lncRNA from 1 species
GUGGAAAGGAAGUAAGCACGGAUCUUGCUCGUGAUGCUGAAAACCCAACCCAACCCACCGAAAACGAGCUGCCGCGCAGCUCGUGUCCGCUAUCGCCCACGCGAAUCAACGACGUCACGGACGGGGAAAUCCUAAAGGCUUCAACGAGACGAAGCGUGUCGACGACGUCUUUGGAUCGUUUGCCGUUCGCAACGCGAAAGGACAAACGAAUGGAAGAGGAAAAUUGACGUGAAAAA